UUGGCAAGUUAAUAUUCAACAGUUCAACGUCCACCUGGUCGAUGAGAUAAUUGUCGAUGGUACGAGAAACUGUAUAGACGAGAUUGCCUCGAAAGUUAUGGACGUG